AGAGUUUGAUCAUGGCUCAGAGCGAACGUUAGCGGCGCGCCUAACACAUGCAAGUCGCACGAGAAAGGGAUUCGUCCCCGGUAAAGUGGCGCACGGGUGAGUAACACGUGGGCAACCUUCCUAAGAGUGGUGGAUAACCUGCCGAAAGGCGGGCUAAUACAGCAUACGACCGGUUGUCUUCGGACGAUUGGUGAAAGCAGGCCUCUGUACACAAGCUUGCGCUCUUGGAUGGGCCCGCGUCCCAUCAGCUAGUUGGUGAGGUAAUGGCUCACCAAGGCUACGACGGGUAGCUGGUCUGAGAGGAUGGCCAGCCACACUGGAACUGAGACACGGUCCAGACUCCUACGGGAGGCAGCAGUGGGGAAUCUUGCGCAAUGGACGAAAGUCUGACGCAGCGACGCCGCGUGGGCGACGAAGGCCUUCGGGUUGUAAAGCCCUGUGGGGCGGGACGAACACUCUCUAGGCGAACAGGCUAGGGAGCUGACGGUACCGCCUUAGCAAGCACCGGCUAACUCUGUGCCAGCAGCCGCGGUA
rnacentral:rRNA from 1 species